UACGUAGGGGGCAAGCGUUGUCCGGAAUCAUUGGGCGUAAAGCGCGUGUAGGCGGUUCAGUAAGUCUGCUGUGAAAGUCCAGGGCUCAACCCUGGGAUGCCGGUGGAUACUGCUGGGCUAGAGUACGGUAGAGGCGAGUGGAAUUCCCGGUGUAGCGGUGAAAUGCGCAGAUAUCGGGAGGAACACCAAUUGUGAAGGCAGCUCGCUGGGACGGCACUGACGCUGAGACGCGAAAGCGUGGGGAGCAAACAGG
rnacentral:rRNA from 1 species